rnacentral:rRNA from 1 species
GAUGAACGCUGGCGGCGUGCUUAACACAUGCAAGUCGAACGGACUACCCCAGAUUGAGGCUUCGGCUGAGAGAUGGGACUAGUUAGUGGCGGACGGGUGAGUAACGCGUGAGCAACCUGCCCUUCGGAGGGGGACAACAGUUGGAAACGACUGCUAAUACCGCAUAAUGUGCCGGAAUCGCAUGGUUUUGGUACCAAAGAUUUAUCGCCGAAGGAUGGGCUCGCGUCUGAUUAGCUGGUUGGUGAGGUAGAGGCUCACCAAGGCGACGAUCAGUAGCCGGACUGAGAGGUUGACCGGCCACAUUGGGACUGAGAUACGGCCCAGACUCCUACGGGAGGCAGCAGUGGGGAAUAUUGGGCAAUGGGCGCAAGCCUGACCCAGCAACGCCGCGUGAAGGAAGAAGGCUUUCGGGUUGUAAACUUCUUUGACAGGGGAAGAAAGAAAUGACGGUACCCUGAGAACAAGCCACGGCUAACUACGUGCCAGCAGCCGCGGUAAUACGUAGGUGGCAAGCGUUAUCCGGAUUUACUGGGUGUAAAGGGCGUGUAGGCGGGAUCUUAAGUCAGAUGUGAAAACUAUGGGCUCAACCCAUAGCCUGCAUUUGAAACUGAGGUUCUUGAGUGAUGGAGAGGUAAGUGGAAUUCCUAGUGUAGCGGUGAAAUGCGUAGAUAUUAGGAGGAACACCAGUGGCGAAGGCGACUUACUGGACAUUAACUGACGCUGAGGCGCGAAAGCGUGGGGAGCAAACAGGAUUAGAUACCCUGGUAGUCCACGCUGUAAACGAUGAAUACUAGGUGUGGGGGGACUGACCCCUUCCGUGCCGGAGUUAACACAAUAAGUAUUCCACCUGGGGAGUACGUUCGCAAGAAUGAAACUCAAAGGAAUUGACGGGGGCCCGCACAAGCAGUGGAUUAUGUGGUUUAAUUCGAAGCAACGCGAAGAACCUUACCAGGGCUUGACAUGGGGAGUGACCGGGACUAGAGAUAGUCCUUUUCUUUCGGGACACUCCCACCACAGGUGGUGCA